rnacentral:rRNA from 1 species
AUGCCUCCCUGCAGCCUACACGCGCCCAGCACCGGCGGCCCGGCCACCUUCAAGUGUGAUGACUCCGUUUCCUCAAGGACGACCUCCCAACACGACGACGCCGCCGGAUCUCAAAUGACCUCAGGCGCCCCAGCUACACUGUCCCUUUGUGGAGUUCCAUCGUUCUCAUCGUCUCCCAUCACAACUUGGUAUCCCCUCCUUUGCUCUAAGAUCAUUUCAUGUUGGCCAGGGCACAUACAGUUAAUCGUGUUUUCUCUUGCAUUGUUGAUCCCAAAAGGACAUAUGCUGUAUCAUGGUUACAACUACAGAUGCAUACCAAUAUGA